rnacentral:lncRNA from 1 species
ACAGUCACCUGGGUCACAGGCUCCUAGUCGCCAGCUUCCAGGUCAUCGGAGGGAGCUGGAGGUGAACCCAGGAUUGGAGGCUAGAGAACUGGGAAAAACACACGGGGGAGCAAAUGGAAACCGGAGGCACAAGAGAAGAUAAGCAGGGAGUUAGAAAUGGGGGCUCAGGGGUUGGGCACAAAGGGACGGACGCAGGAAGCAGGUGGCGUGGGGGAAAUCGGGCAAUGAGGCAGAAAACCAGGAGCACUCAGAAGCGCAGAGAGAGGAGCUGGGGACAGUGGACAGUCCAGGGUGAAAGUCGGGCAAUGAAUUGGGAGAAGGGUUGAUUUUGGAAGUUGGGAAACUGAGGGCGGCAACGGAGAAGAAUGCGGUCACCGGAUGGGAGUUGGGGACGCCAGGGGAUGAAAGGACAGAAGCCGGGAGCACUCAAGGAGGCCAGAUAGGAGUUAACGGAGGACAUGCCUCAGAGUCGCAGACACGAGGCCGGUCCUAAGCAGGGUCCAGGUGACGACAUUCAAGACAGGGGCACCAGGAGGUUUGGGAAAGGGCCGUCAGGCCCCGCCCCCGCCGCGCCGUCACUCACCUCGGCUUACUCAGCACUUCUCAGCCCUCCUACUUCCGCAAACUGACGCGCCCCGCCCACGUGACGACACUACGGCUCUCCACCAAUCCACCGAGCCCAUGCCGCAGGCAGGCUGUGGCCCCGACCCCAAGCGUGGACCUCGCACGCGGUCAGGCGCCGCCAUCUUCUAUAACUGCCCAAUGGAAGCCGCUUCUGUUGCCAGGGGGCGGUCGGGCUUCUGACUGAAGCCAAUUCUGCGUGGCUGAUGGGGGCCAUGCCUCGGGCGGGCGGAAGUUUCUCGUGAGGGCAGUUUGGCUGACGUGUUGAUAAAGGGCAGGAGGCUGUUCCCGGCUCCCUUCGACCUCAAGGAAUCCAGGGUGGCUCGGACUCUGAACUUUUCUGUUUCUGGCAACACAUGAAGAUAAUAAGAAAGAAAAUCAAUAAAGCCACAGGAUAUAACCGGGAAGAGCCUGCUUUGAUGUUGCCAGGUUCUCCCAAACCAAAUUGCAAAUAAAAAUAUGGAAUU